rnacentral:rRNA from 1 species
UACAGAGGGUGCGAGCGUUGUUCGGAAUUAUUGGGCGUAAAGGGCGCGUAGGCGGUUGGGUAAGUCACCUGUGAAAUCUCCUGGCUCAACUGGGAGCUUGCAGGCGAAACUGCUUGACUGGAGUAUGGGAGAGGUGCGUGGAAUUCCCGGUGUAGCGGUGAAAUGCGUAGAUAUUGGGAGGAACACCAGUGGCGAAGGCGGCUCGCUGGACCGGUUCUGACGCUGAGGUGCGAAAGCGUGGGGAGCAAACAGG